GGGUUGUGAGGUUAAGCGACUAAGCGUACACGGUGGAUGCCCUGGCAGUCAGAGGCGAUGAAGGACGUGCUAAUCUGCGAAAAGCGUCGGUAAGGUGAUAUGAACCGUUAUAGCCGGCGAUGUCCGAAUGGGGAAACCCAGUGCAAUUCGUUGCACUAUCGUUAACUGAAUACAUAGGUUAACGAGGCGAACCGGGGGAACUGAAACAUCUAAGUACCCCGAGGAAAAGAAAUCAACCGAGAUUCCCCCAGUAGCGGCGAGCGAACGGGGAGCAGCCCAGAGUCUGAAUCAGCUUGUGUGUUAGUGGAACGGUCUGGAAAGUCCGACGGUACAGGGUGAUAGUCCCGUACACCAAAAUGCACAGGCUGUGAACUCGAAGAGUAGGGCGGGACACGUGGUAUCCUGUCUGAAUAUGGGGGGACCAUCCUCCAAGGCUAAAUACUCCUGACUGACCGAUAGUGAACCAGUACCGUGAGGGAAAGGCGAAAAGAACCCCGGCGAGGGGAGUGAAAAAGAACCUGAAACCGUGUACGUACAAGCAGUGGGAGCACCUUUAUGGUGUGACUGCGUACCUUUUGUAUAAUGGGUCAGCGACUUAUAUUCUGUAGCAAGGUUAACCGUAUAGGGGAGCCGCAGGGAAACCGAGUCUUAACUGGGCGUUAAGUUGCAGGGUAUAGACCCGAAACCCGGUGAUCUAGCCAUGGGCAGGUUGAAGGUUGGGUAACACUAACUGGAGGACCGAACCGACUAAUGUUGAAAAAUUAGCGGAUGACUUGUGGCUGGGGGUGAAAGGCCAAUCAAACCGGGAGAUAGCUGGUUCUCCCCGAAAGCUAUUUAGGUAGCGCCUCGUGAAUUCAUCUUCGGGGGUAGAGCACUGUUUCGGCUAGGGGGUCAUCCCGACUUACCAACCCGAUGCAAACUACGAAUACCGAAGAAUGUUAUCACGGGAGACACACGGCGGGUGCUAACGUCCGUCGUGAAGAGGGAAACAACCCAGACCGCCAGCUAAGGUCCCAAAGUCAUGGUUAAGUGGGAAACGAUGUGGGAAGGCACAGACAGCCAGGAUGUUGGCUUAGAAGCAGCCAUCAUUUAAAGAAAGCGUAAUAGCUCACUGGUCGAGUCGGCCUGCGCGGAAGAUGUAACGGGGCUAAACCAUGCACCGAAGCUGCGGCAGCGACGCUUAUGCGUUGUUGGGUAGGGGAGCGUUCUGUAAGCCUGCGAAGGUGGCCUGUGAGGGUUGCUGGAGGUAUCAGAAGUGCGAAUGCUGACAUAAGUAACGAUAAAGCGGGUGAAAAGCCCGCUCGCCGGAAGACCAAGGGUUCCUGUCCAACGUUAAUCGGGGCAGGGUGAGUCGACCCCUAAGGCGAGGCCGAAAGGCGUAGUCGAUGGGAAACAGGUUAAUAUUCCUGUACUUGGUGUUACUGCGAAGGGGGGACGGAGAAGGCUAUGUUAGCCGGGCGACGGUUGUCCCGGUUUAAGCAUGUAGGCUGGUUAUCCAGGCAAAUCCGGAUAAUCAAGGCUGAGGUGUGAUGACGAGGCACUACGGUGCUGAAGUAACAAAUGCCCUGCUUCCAGGAAAAGCCUCUAAGCAUCAGGUAACAUCAAAUCGUACCCCAAACCGACACAGGUGGUCAGGUAGAGAAUACCAAGGCGCUUGAGAGAACUCGGGUGAAGGAACUAGGCAAAAUGGUGCCGUAACUUCGGGAGAAGGCACGCUGGUGUGUAGGUGAAGUCCCUGCGGAUGGAGCUGAGACCAGUCGAAGAUACCAGCUGGCUGCAACUGUUUAUUAAAAACACAGCACUGUGCAAACACGAAAGUGGACGUAUACGGUGUGACGCCUGCCCGGUGCCGGAAGGUUAAUUGAUGGGGUUAUCCGUAAGGAGAAGCUCUUGAUCGAAGCCCCGGUAAACGGCGGCCGUAACUAUAACGGUCCUAAGGUAGCGAAAUUCCUUGUCGGGUAAGUUCCGACCUGCACGAAUGGCGUAAUGAUGGCCAGGCUGUCUCCACCCGAGACUCAGUGAAAUUGAACUCGCUGUGAAGAUGCAGUGUACCCGCGGCAAGACGGAAAGACCCCGUGAACCUUUACUAUAGCUUGACACUGAACAUUGAGCCUUGAUGUGUAGGAUAGGUGGGAGGCUUUGAAGCGUGGACGCCAGUCUGCGUGGAGCCAACCUUGAAAUACCACCCUUUAAUGUUUGAUGUUCUAACGUUGGCCCCUAAUCGGGGUUGCGGACAGUGUCUGGUGGGUAGUUUGACUGGGGCGGUCUCCUCCCAAAGCGUAACGGAGGAGCACGAAGGUUAGCUAAUCCUGGUCGGACAUCAGGAGGUUAGUGCAAUGGCAUAAGCUAGCUUGACUGCGAGCGUGACGGCGCGAGCAGGUGCGAAAGCAGGUCAUAGUGAUCCGGUGGUUCUGAAUGGAAGGGCCAUCGCUCAACGGAUAAAAGGUACUCCGGGGAUAACAGGCUGAUACCGCCCAAGAGUUCAUAUCGACGGCGGUGUUUGGCACCUCGAUGUCGGCUCAUCACAUCCUGGGGCUGAAGUAGGUCCCAAGGGUAUGGCUGUUCGCCAUUUAAAGUGGUACGCGAGCUGGGUUUAGAACGUCGUGAGACAGUUCGGUCCCUAUCUGCCGUGGGCGCUGGAGAAUUGAGGGGGGCUGCUCCUAGUACGAGAGGACCGGAGUGGACGCAUCACUGGUGUUCGGGUUGUCAUGCCAAUGGCACUGCCCGGUAGCUAAAUGCGGAAGAGAUAAGUGCUGAAAGCAUCUAAGCACGAAACUUGCCCCGAGAUGAGUUCUCCCUGAGACUUUAAGUCUCCUGAAGGAACGUUGAAGACGACGACGUUGAUAGGCCGGGUGUGUAAGCGCAGCGAUGCGUUGAGCUAACCGGUACUAAUGAACCGUGAGGCUUAACCUUACAACGCCGAAG
rnacentral:rRNA from 1 species